rnacentral:rRNA from 1 species
AGAACGUCGUGAGACAGUUCGGUCUCUAUCCGCCGCGCGCGUGGAAACUUGAUGGAAGGCUGUCCCUAGUACGAGAGGACCGGGACGGACGAACCUCUGGUGUGCCAGUUGUUCCGCCAGGAGCAUUGCUGGUUGGCUACGUACGGGAGGGAUAACCGCUGAAAGCAUCUAAGCGGGAAGCCUGUUUUAAGAUGAGGUUUCAUUUGAGGUUCCCAGGAGACUACUGGGUUGAUAGGCCGGACCUGGAAG